rnacentral:rRNA from 1 species
CCUACGGGUGGCAGCAGUGGGGAAUAUUGGGCAAUGGGCGCAAGCCUGACCCAGCAACGCCGCGUGAAGGAAGAAGGCUCUCGGGUUGUAAACUUCUUUUAUCAGGGACGAAGCAAGUGACGGUACCUGAUGAAUAAGCCACGGCUAACUACGUGCCAGCAGCCGCGGUAAUACGUAGGUGGCAAGCGUUAUCCGGAUUUACUGGGUGUAAAGGGCGUGUAGGCGGGAAAGCAAGUCAGAUGUGAAAACCAUGGGCUCAACCUGUGGCCUGCAUUUGAAACUGUUUUUCUUGAGUACUGGAGAGGCAGACGGAAUUCCUAGUGUAGCGGUGAAAUGCGUAGAUAUUAGGAGGAACACCAGUGGCGAAGGCGGCUUACUGGACUGCAACUGACGUUGAGGCUCGAAAGCGUGGGGAGCAAACAGGAUUAGAUACCCCUGUAGUC